GGGGUGCGACACGGUGACGUGGGGCGGAUCCCUGAAAACCGGUCUCAGUUCGGAUCGCAGUCUGCAACUCGACUGCGUGAAGGUGGAGUCGCUAGUAAUCGCGGAUCAGCAACGCCGCGGUGAAUACGUUCCCGGGCCUUGUACACACCGCCCGUCACACCAUGGAAGUCUGCAAUGCCCGAAGCCGGUGGCCUAACCACUUAUGUGGAAGGAGCCGUCUAAGGCAGGGCAGAUGACUGGGGUGAAGUCGUAACAAGGUAAC
rnacentral:rRNA from 1 species